rnacentral:rRNA from 1 species
UACGUAUGGAGCAAGCGUUAUCCGGAUUUACUGGGUGUAAAGGGAGCGCAGGCGGUCUGGCAAGUCUGAUGUGAAAGGCCGGGGCUCAACUCCGGGACUGCAUUGGAAACUGUCAGACUGGAGUGUCGGAGAGGUAAGCGGAAUUCCUAGUGUAGCGGUGAAAUGCGUAGAUAUUAGGAGGAACACCAGUGGCGAAGGCGGCUUACUGGACGAUGACUGACGCUGGGGCUCGAAAGCGUGGGGAGCAAACAGG